GGAUAACCUACCCUUAGGACUGGGAUAACCUUGGGAAACUGAGGCUAAUACCGGAUAGGCAAUUUUUCCUGUAAUGGUUUUUUGUUUAAAUGUUUUUUCGCCUAAGGAUGGGUCUGCGGCCGAUUAGGUAGUUGGUUAGGUAAUGGCUUACCAAGCCGUUGAUCGGUACGGGUUGUGAGAGCAAGAGCCCGGAGAUGGAACCUGAGACAAGGUUCCAGGCCCUACGGGGUGCAGCAGGCGCGAAACCUCCGCAAUGUGAGAAAUCGCGACGGGGGGAUCCCAAGUGCCAUUCUUAACGGGAUGGCUUUUCAUUAGUGUAAAGAGCUUUUGGAAUAAGAGCUGGGCAAGACCGGUGCCAGCCGCCGCGGUAACACCGGCAGCUCUAGUGGUAGCAAUUUUUAUUGGGCCUAAAGCGUCCGUAGCCGGUUUAAUAAGUCUCUGGUGAAAUCCUGUAGCUUAACUGUGGGAAUUGCUGGAGAUACUAUUAGACUUGAGACCGGGAGAGGUUGGAGGUACUCCCAGGGUAGAGGUGAAAUUCUGUAAUCCUGGGAGGACCGCCUGUUGCGAAGGCGUCUAACUGGAACGGUUCUGACGGUGAGGGACGAAAGUUAGGGGCGCGAACCGGAUUAGAUACCCGGGUAGUCCUAACUGUAAACGAUGCGGACUUGGUGUUGGGGUGGCUUUGAGCUGCUCCAGUGCC
rnacentral:rRNA from 1 species